CAGAAGCGUAUAUUAAUGUUGUUGCAGUUAAAACGCUCGUAGUUGGAUUUUGGAGAGGAGUGGAGAUCUGUCCGCCUGAAGGCGAGUACGGACUCGCUCCCUUCGUAGUUGGUGACGAUGCACGGGGGCUGCUUAAGUGCGGCGCUCGUGAGCUGGAGGGGGAGACUCUGAAGGCGAGGUCUUGGCUCUUUUUGUGGAGUCGGGCAGCAUUUCACCUCAUUUACUUUGAAAAAAUAGAGUGCUCAAAGCAGGCCUUAGGGCCAUUGAAUAAUUCAGCAUGGGAUAAUAGAAUAAGAGACUUGAACUCAUUUUGUUGGUAUUUUGAGUUUGGUUUAAUGAUUAACAGGGACAGUCGGGGUGGUUCGUAUUGAGUAGUCAGAGGUGAAAUUCUUGGAUUUUCUCAAGACGAACUGCUGCGAAAGCCAUCCACUAGGAUGCUUUCAUUAA
rnacentral:rRNA from 1 species